UACGGAGGAUGCAAGCGUUAUCCGGAAUUAUUGGGCGUAAAGGGUCCGCAGGUGGCAUUGAAAGUCUGCUGUUAAAGAGUUUGGCUCAACCAGAUAAAAGCAGUGGAAACUACAAAGCUAGAGUGCGUUCGGGGCAGAAGGAAUUCCUGGUGUAGCGGUGAAAUGCGUAGAGAUCAGGAAGAACACCGGUGGCGAAAGCGUUCUGCUAGGCCUGCACUGACACUGAGGGACGAAAGCUAGGGGAGCGAAUGGG
rnacentral:rRNA from 1 species